rnacentral:rRNA from 1 species
ACUCAAAGGAAUUGACGGGGGCCCGCACAAGCGGCGGAGCAUGCGGCUUAAUUCGAUGCAACGCGAAGAACCUUACCUAGGCUUGACAUAUAGCGUUUACCGGCAGAGAUGUCGGGUCCUUCGGGGCGCUAUACAGGUGGUGCAUGGCUGUCGUCAGCUCGUGUCGUGAGAUGUUGGGUUAAGUCCCGCAACGAGCGCAACCCUCGUUCUAUGUUGCCAGCAAGUAAUGUUGGGGACUCAUAGGAGACUGCCGGGGUCAACUCGGAGGAAGGUGGGGACGACGUCAAGUCAUCAUGCCCCUUAUGUCUAGGGCUGCACGCAUGCUACAAUGGCUGGUACAAAGGGCUGCAAGACCGCAAGGUGGAGCGAAUCCCAUAAAGCCAGUCUCAGUUCGGAUUGGGGUCUGCAACUCGACCCCAUGAAGUUGGAGUCGCUAGUAAUCGCAGAUCAGCAACGCUGCGGUGAAUACGUUCCCGGGCCUUGUACACACCGCCCGU